CCUACGGGAGGCAGCAGUAGGGAAUAUUGCUCAAUGGGGGAAACUCUGACGCAGCAACGCCGCGUGGAGGAUGAAGGUUUUAGGAUUGUAAACUCCUUUUGUGAGAGAAGAUAAUGACAGUAUCUCACUAGUAAGCACCGGCUAACUCCGUGCCCGCAGCCGCGGUAAUACGGAGGGUGCAAGCGUUACUCGGAAUCACUGGGCGUAAAGAGUGCGCAGGCGGGGUUGUAAGUCAGAUGUGAAAUCCGGGAGCUUAACUAGAGAACUGCAUUUGAAACUAUGAGUCUAGAGUGUGGGAGAGGUAGGUGGAAUUCUUGGUGUAGGGGUAAAAUCCGUAGAUAUCAAGAGGAAUACUCAUUGCGAAGGCGACCUACUGGAACAUUACUGACGCUCAGGCACGAAAGCGUGGGGAGCAAACAGGAUUAGAUACCCGGGUAGUC
rnacentral:rRNA from 1 species